UACGAAGGGGGCUAGCGUUGCUCGGAAUCACUGGGCGUAAAGCGCACGUAGGCGGCUUUCUAAGUCAGGGGUGAAAUCCUGGAGCUCAACUCCAGAACUGCCUUUGAUACUGGAGAGCUUGAGUCCGGAAGAGGUGAGUGGAAUUCCUAGUGUAGAGGUGAAAUUCGUAGAUAUCGGGUGGAACACCUGUGGCGAAGGCGGCCAUCUGGACGUCAACUGACGCUGAGACGCGAAAGCGUGGGGAGCAAACAGG
rnacentral:rRNA from 1 species